rnacentral:rRNA from 1 species
AUUGAACGCUGGCGGCAGGCCUAACACAUGCAAGUCGAGCGAGCGGCGGACGGGUGAGUAAUGUAUGGGGACUGCCCGAUAGAGGGGGAUCACUACUGGAAACGGUGGCUAAUACCGCAUACUAUCGGCUAACCCAUAUGGGAUUAGCUAGUAGGUGGGGUAAAGGCUCACCUAGGCGCCGAUCUCUAGCUGGUCUGAGAGGAUGAUCAGGCAAACUGGGACUGAGACACGGCCCAGAGUCCGACGGAGGCAGCAGUGGGGAAGAUUGGAGAAGGGGCGCAAGCCGGAUGCAGCGACGCCGCGGGGGGGAUGAAGGCUGUCGGGUUGUAAAACUCUUUCGCUAUGGAACGGGUAGGUGGAGAAGAAGCGCCGGCUAACUACGUGCCAGCAGCCGCGGUAAUAC